GCCCCGAUAGCUCAGCGGAUAGAGCAGGUGCCUUCUAAGCACUUGGUCGCAGGUUCGAUCCCUGCUCGGGGCACCA
rnacentral:tRNA from 1 species